rnacentral:rRNA from 1 species
AUCGAACGCUGGCGGCAGGCCUAACACAUGCAAGUCGAGCGGAGCGGCGGACGGGUGAGUAAUGCCUAGGAAUCUGCCUGGUAGUGGGGGAUCACGUCCGGAAACGGGCCCUAAUACCGCAUACUAUCAGAUGAGCCUAGGUAGGAUCGGCUAGUUGGUGGGGUAAAGGCCUACCAAGGCGACGAGCCGUCACUGGUCUGAGAGGAUGAUCAGUCAAACUGGAACUGAGACACGGUCCAGACUCGUACGGUAGGCAGCAGUGGGGAAUAUUGGACAAUGGACGAAAGCCUGAUCGAGCCAUGCCGCGUGUGUGAAGAAGGUCUUCGGAUUGUAAAGCACUUUUAGUUGGGAGGCGUUACCAACAUAGAAAGCACCGGCUAACUCCGUGCCAGCAGCCGCGGUAAUAC